rnacentral:rRNA from 1 species
UACGAAGGUGGCAAGCGUUACUCGGAAUUACUAGGCGUAAAGGGCAGGUAGGUGGUUUGGUAAGUCUGUUGUGUAAGCUCCUGGCUUAACCGGGAGAGGUCAACAGAAACUACCAGGCUUGAGUAUAGGAGAGGGUACUGGAAUUCCCGGUGUAGCGGUGAAAUGCGCAGAGAUCGGGAGGAACACCAAUGGCGAAAGCAGGUACCUGGACUAUUACUGACACUGAGCUGCGAAAGCUAGGGGAGCAAACAGGAUUAGAAACCCCCGUAGUCC